ACAGCUCCAGGCAACAGAAAUGAGGAGUCAAACUGAACAGCAGUGCUCAGAGUGACAUCUUUGAACGGGGAACGGAGGCACCCCUGGGGCACCACGUAGAAAUUAUUGCCGAGCUGCAAAACAACAAUGAGGAACUCAAUCCUGCAGUGGAAAUCUCCCAGAGGGAAGAACACAGAGAUCCGAGGUCUCAUCCCCCAAACCAAAGACCCUCCUGCUGUGGGGGUUUCGUAGCUCCCAGCCCCUCUCAGCUGCCCCCACUGAAGCCCACCUCAUCCCUAUGCUUUGUGCUUGCAGGAAGGAAGGAAGGAAGGAAAAGAAGAGCCGACGCUCUGCAGCCGAAAGGGCUUUUUAAACAUCUGUCACCAGAAACGCAUACAACAAAACCAGGCGGCACUGAAUUCUGCCUUUUUACCACUGCUAAAUUCACGCUCCGGAAGUUUUCCUAGGGCCGCUUUGCAGCAGGGAGAAAUCAGAAAAUACAUUAAAAAAUAUGGAGAAAAAAAAAAAAAAAGGAAAAUGCCCCCUUUUUAGGCAAUUCCUGCUGGUUUCACCCCAAAAACGGGGGAGGCGAGGGCUGCAGAGCCAACACCUGAGCGCUGCCGAGCGCUGCCGGAGGUGCUCCGUGGCUGUUUACUCCGAGUGCCAUCUGGCUGUAUAGAUAUAAUAACAAUUAUUCCAUCGAGGUAUGCAGCUCCCUAAAUCAUAUUAAUACACAACGAUUCCGCCGGCCUUAUAGGACGGGCUGUUUCUGCGUGCUCCCAUUUAACCCGGGUAAUGCGCUAAAACAAGCCUGCCUCAUCAUUAAGAAUUGAUUUUUUAUUUAUGGGAGCGUCGCUUGCAAUCCCAUGAUAUCCCUUUGUGAUUCGGGAGGACGGGGGGCUGCAGCCCGGCGUUCAUCUCGUUUUAUGGCACGUCUUUAACAAACCCACAGCAUCUUUGCUGCAUUCGGAUCUUUACGCCGUGAUUUGUGCCCCCGCGCGCGGAUGCUGCUCCGCCGCGCUGCCGCGGAGGGUCUAAUAUACUUCAUUAGCUGUAUUACAUCAGAUAAGGCUUUGAUGCCUUUAAAUUAUUUAACCUUGGUAGAGCCCGCCGGGACCGCAUAAAUUACAGCCCCGCUAAUGAAAAUCAUUCGUUAGGCGAUUCAAAAAGACAACGGGAAAAGGGAUGUAAAUAUCUCCCCGCAUCAACUGCUUCCCAUCAAAGGUAUCCCAGAGCACGGAGCAAUGGGCAGCUUCCUCACAUCAGCACCGAAACAUCUGGGGCAGCAAAAGCACGUUUUUGCACUAUUUCCCCCCUCGUCCCCAUCUCUGCAUCCUUCCUCUCUGCUGCCUUUGGAAGGGGUGCAGGGGAUUUAUUUAGCUCCUAAGUACACAUAUAGACGUCCAAUGCUUUCGCCUGGCGCUCCCUAAAGUCAGAACGCACGGAGCAGCGAUGGCAAGGAGCAAAGUGGGGCUCACCCUAAGGCCCCCCAUUGCCCCACUCCAUCCCAAACACAGCACUGGGGCUGCUUGGACCGACCCAAACCCACCUCCUUCCCACCGAGCUGUUAUCUGAGCGUUAAGUAAUCAAGCCGGCACAUUUAAUUUAGAUUCUCCCCCACUAAGUAUCUCACGGGGGACAUCUUUAAUAACACCUUCCGCCAUCCAUAUCACUAUUAUGGUAAAUGUUGCUGCAUUAAUUUCAUCUUGCUCACUUUGUGUGGUUUUUUUUGCCCCGCUUUUGCACGUGGAACCCAUUGCUGGGGGGUGGGCUGGGUCAGGCCCCCACAUCACGAGGCUUUUGGAAGGGGGUCUGAGGAAGGACAGUGGGAUUUCUUACCUAUCUUGGUGAAUAAAGGCCACGGAAGCACUGCCUCCCUUCUUUUUGCACUUGGGUUUUUAAUGUUUUGGGAAGACUGCUCAGCACGACCUGCACAGAGCAGGUCCGCAGGUGUGCCAUGGCACCACGCUCCUUGGGCACAGUGAUCCCCAAUGGAGCUGUGACCAUCUUCCUCCCCACUCCCAACACCCAAACCAAGCUUCAGAAAGCCCAGCAAAAAUAAAACCAACCCACGGCGAUGCUGGAAUGUGAAGCGUCCUGGAAGCAGAACCACAUCCCCAAAACAGGAGAUCCAUAGGAUGGAUGGACGCAGCUUUGGGGCUCCAGAAUGGUUUGGUGCCACCACGCAGCAACUGCUCAGCUCUACCCAAAGAACUGUCGGGGCUGUGGGCUGCUCUCCUGAGCUUUGCUCCAAUGCAGAGUAACUCAACCAGGAUAAAUCAGAACCCAUGGAGACUUUUGGCUGUGGAAGCAGCUGAAACCUCCCCCUGUGCCCACAGCCAUCCUCGCACCAUCCAUAGGAUCGCAGACGGUGACCCUGAUAAAACCCCACCUUUAAAGCAGUGAUUUAAGAAUGGCAAUUCCAUUUCCCAGCUCCCGCAGAUAUAAAAUCAGAACCCAGCUGAAGCCGAAUGCAUUUCCCCUGCUUUAAUUACUGCACCUUAGUUUGUUUCAAAGCUCUUUUCUUUUAUUUUCCCCUUAAACCUGUAAAAUAUGCCCAGCGUGGAGUUAGUUUUACCGUUCAGCUGAUAAACCAUGAAAAACAUGGGGUUUGCAAUGAAACUGCUGACAGCAACAGUAAAGACAGAGCGCUGCCAUUG